CCUACGGUGAGCAGCAGUCGAGAAUCAUUCACAAUGGGGGAAACCCUGAUGGUGCGACGCCGCGUGGGGGAAUGAAGGUCUUCGGAUUGUAAACCCCUGUCAUGUGGGAGCAAAUUAAAAAGAUAGUACCACAAGAGGAAGAGACGGAUAACUCUGUGCCAGCAGACGCGGUAAUACAGAGGUCUCAAGCGUUGUUCGGAAUCACUGGGCGUAAAGCGUGCGUAGGCUGUUUCGUAAGUCGUGUGUGAAAGGCGCGGGCUCAACCCGCGGACGGCACAUGAUACUGCGAGACUAGAGUAAUGGAGGGGGAACCGGAAUUCUCGGUGUAGCAGUGAAAUGCGUAGAUAUCGAGAGGAACACUCGUGGCGAAGGCGGGUUCCUGGACAUUAACUGACGCUGAGGCACGAAGGCCAGGGGAGCGAAAGGGAUUAGAUACCCCUGUAGUC
rnacentral:rRNA from 1 species